UUCUUUCUCAGCAAAUUGAUCCAACUGGCAGGCAUUCAUCCGAGGGCGAUCAAACACGCGCAACAGAGGUUAUCAGUGUAAUUACCCAUGAAGCAUCGACAAGUUCUGAUGGUCCAUCAAGGAAGUUCAAGCGAAAAAGAACUCGAAAUGAUGCAGGGCGCCAGUUUCGAAUGAUGGUCAAUAAUCAAUACGAUGAAGCCGUUUUAAGCAAAGAGG